rnacentral:rRNA from 1 species
GACGAACGCUGGCGGCGCGCUUAACACAUGCAAGUCGAACGGAUAGGCCUGCUUUCCCUUGUGGAUUGCGGGUACUCGAGUGGCGAACGGGUGAGUAACACGUGAGUGAUCUGCCCCCAACUUGGGUAUAAGCCUGGGAAACUGGGUCUAAUUCCCGAUAGGACUGCAGGGUGGUGCCUGUGGUGGAAAACGAUUUUCUAGUGGUUGGGGAUGAGCUCGCGGCCUAUCAGCUUGUUGGUGGGGUAAUGGCCUACCAAGGCGGCGACGGGUAGCCGGCCUGAGAGGGUGGACGGCGACAUUGGGACUGAGAUACGGCCCAGACUCCGACGGGAGGCAGCAGUGGGGAAUAUGGCACAAUGGGCGGAAGCCUGAGGCAGCGACGCCGCGGGGGGGAUGACGGCCUUCGGGUGGUAAACUCCUUUCGACCGCGAGGAAGCCACCUGGUUGGAAGGGUGGUGACGGUAGUGGGAGAAGAAGCACCGGCUAACUACGUG